rfam:Triticum aestivum genome assembly, contig: Triticum_aestivum_CS42_TGACv1_scaffold_131854_2BL
CUAUUACUCCCUCCGUUCCAAAUUACUUGUCGCAAGUAUGGAUGUAUCUAGAUGUAUUUUAGUUCUAGAUACAUCCAUUUCUGCGACAAGUAAUUUGGGACGGAGGGAGUACAAG